rnacentral:misc_RNA from 1 species
UUUCCGUAGGUGAACCUGCGGAAGGAUCAUUAUUGAAUGAAACACUUCUGGCUUUAUGCUGUUGCGCUGGCCCUUUGGGCAAUGUGCACACGGCUCUGGUCACUUGUUUCUUCUGUUCCACCUGUGCACUGCCUGUAGACACGCUGUGUCUAUGAUAUUUGUUAACACACAACAAUGUUAGUUGGCAUGUUAUAUAUAAUAAUAAAAUAUACAACUUUCAACAACGGAUCUCUUGGCUCUC